CCUACGGGAGGCUGCAGUGGGGAAUAUUGGACAAUGGGCGAAAGCCUGAUCCAGCCAUGCCGCGUGUGUGAAGAAGGCCUUCGGGUUGUAAAGCACUUUCAGUGGGGAAGAAAGCCUUGGGGCUAAUACCCUCGAGGAAGGACAUCACCCACAGAAGAAGCACCGGCUAACUCCGUGCCAGCAGCCGCGGUAAUACGGAGGGUGCGAGCGUUAAUCGGAAUUACUGGGCGUAAAGCGCGCGUAGGCGGUCUGAUAAGCCGGUUGUGAAAGCCCCGGGCUCAACCUGGGAACGGCAUCCGGAACUGUCAGGAUAGAGUGCAGGAGAGGAAGGUAGAAUUCCCGGUGUAGCGGUGAAAUGCGUAGAGAUCGGGAGGAAUACCAGUGGCGAAGGCGGCCUUCUGGACUGACACUGACGCUGAGGUGCGAAAGCGUGGGUAGCAAACAGGAUUAGAUACCCCGGUAGUC
rnacentral:rRNA from 1 species